AUUGAACGCUGGCGGCAGGCCUAACACAUGCAAGUCGAACGGUAACAGGAAACAGCUUGCUGUUUCGCUGACGAGUGGCGGACGGGUGAGUAAUGUCUGGGAAACUGCCUGAUGGAGUGGGAUAACUACUGGAAACGGUAGCUAAUACCGCAUAACGUCGCAAGACCAAAGAGGGGGACCUUCGGGCCUCUUGCCAUCGGAUGUGCCCAGAUGGGAUUAGCUAGUAGGUGGGGUAACGGCUCACCUAGGCGACGAUCCCUAGCUGGUCUGAGAGGAUGACCAGCCACACUGGAACUGAGACACGGUCCAGACUCCUACGGGAGGCAGCAGUGGGGAAUAUUGCACAAUGGGCGCAAGCCUGAUGCAGCCAUGCCGCGUGUAUGAAGAAGGCCUUCGGGUUGUAAAGUACUUUCAGCGGGGAGGAAGGGAGUAAAGUUAAUACCUUUACUCAUUGACGUUACCCGCAGAAGAAGCACCGGCUAACUCCGUG
rnacentral:rRNA from 1 species